rnacentral:lncRNA from 10 species
GCCGGGCGGUGCAGAGGGGCGGGGCCGCGGGGCCUGGAAGCAGCCUCCGGGAUCUGCAAGUCUGGAAAGGCCACGUUGUGGACCUUGGCGCAGAGGUUAUGGGGGCGACCCGGAGCGGAUGGUUUCAGGAAAACUAGAACCCACCCUCAUGGCCUGAACAACUGGAGAGAAGAGGAUCGCAGCAAUUUAAAGCCAGCGGCAAGGAUCACAGUCCUGGGGUCAGGUGACCAAAGCCAGUUUUUCAGCCCUUAACAAGAACCUGGCUUCACCCAGCCAAACAUGAGUUAACGUAUCCAUUUUACACACGAACAAACUGAGGCGCAGAGAUGAUCACAGCUUGUUGGUGGCAAACUCCGCUAGGGCCUUCUCUGCUACCCUAAGGAGGUCCGACCGUAUGUUUUGGACCCCUUAACUCGGGAUACCGAUAAACGAAAAUUAAUAGGGUGUUGGAUGUUUUAAAUGUGUGCGGGAAUGUCAUUAUAUUGGCUAGAAUCAAACCUUAUUUAGACUUGUUUUGCACUUUUGUACACUUUAGUAAUUUUUAGUUUUAAUCAUAAGGGAGUUAAAGGCGAACACAACUGGUAUUUUUUUUUUUUUUUUUUUUUUUUUGAGACAGGGUCUCGCUCGGUCACCCAGGCUGGAGUGUAAUGCUGCGAUCUCGGCUCACUGCAACGUCCGCCUCCCGGGUUCAAGAGAUUCUCCUGCCUCAGCCUCCCGAAUAGCUGGGCGUGCCACCACGCCCGGCUGAUUUUUGUAUUUUUAGUAGAGACGGGGUUUCACCAUGUUGGCCAGGUUGGUCUCGAACUCCUGACCUCAAAUGAUCCGCCCGCCUUGGCCUCCCAGAAUGCUGGGAUUACAGGCGUGAGCCACCGCGCCAGGCCGACAACUGGUAUCUUAAGGCUUAGGGCCUCUGGUAGAAGUGAGCUCCACCUCCCUUCCUGUGUAGAAGGUAAAUGCAUUCAUUCAUUCAGUGAAUCGAGCAUGCAUGAAAUCGUUUGCGCACACCCAGAAGCCCACCUGCGAGCCACAGGAGCAGCCAUUCCAGGAAGCCAAGCUAUAAUGGGAGACGCAAGGAAUGGAGGCGGAACUCCUGUUUUUAAGUCCUAGCUCCAACACUAGCCUUGUCAGCCUGUAAUUCUGAAUUACUGGGCGCCUCUGAGGCUUCUUGUCUCAUCUGCAAAUCAGGAACAACGGCAUAGAGUGGUGAAUGCAUCAAGUGGGAUGAUGUCUGCAAGUACGCAACCCGCUUACACAAAGAAUUAUCUUUCCAUAACCUUCCCUGGACCCCUAGGGCCAGCAGGGAAUCAUAGCCUCCCUUUGUUUCUAGAGCCCGGAAAUCACUGGGUUUUCCCUCUGUCUGGAGCAGAGCUGGGUGCGAAUUUGACCAACGGGUGGCAGGAACAGCCGGAGCAGGAUAUUAAGGAGCGGGCGAGCUUGCCAAGCAUGCGCAGUAGCGGCGGGUUGGUUUGAGAAGCCGCCAGGGAGCCAGCGCGGCGACCUAGCUGGCUGGGGCAGGGGAGGGGCCCGCCUUAUAUGGGAGCUGCGUGGGGACAAACUGUUCGGGCCCAACGCGCGGGUCUGAGAGACAGCCACGCCUGCUCCGGGUCACUCCGGCCACCUGGGGGGCGUCGGCGCGCAGACUCUGGCCAGUUCAGUAUUCAAACUCUUCAGGAGUGCUAACUUACUCAUGACAGCGAUUUUCUGUAUCGGGGUUUCAUUGGUCGGUGGUUUAGAAGGUUUUGCUCAUUCAUUCGUUAAUGUAAUUCCAACAACCUACACGUGUUUAUAAGCCCCCUUUCCAUCCACGACUUUGCUGUCUGACACAAAACGGACCAUCGCAGCCCGGCAGACGCUUUAGACAACAAACAGCAUGCCUGGAGCUUUUCAAUAGGAAGCAGUAAGGCUUGAUCAUCACAGACGAUACGGAACGGGCACUUUCUUAGCAGAAAAUAUUUCUAUUGGGGCGUGAAGGAAGUUUCUGAAAGGGAAGAUUAUUAUAAGAUAAGGGGUUUGCUCAUCUCAGACUUUAGUGUGCCUGCUUUAAAGUGUUUUGCAAACUUGAAUGUUUAAAGGAAUCACCUGGCGGUCUUGUGAAACUGCAGCUUCUAAUGGGCAAGUCAGAGGGGAAGCCUGAGACAUGGCAUUUCCAGCACGUUCGGGGAGUGAAGAUGCUGUCGGCUGCCACCCUCCCUGCAAGGAGCCAGGGGAUAGAUGACCUCUACGCAAACUCUCCCCUCAAUGGGAAGUAGAAUCUCUUUCUCCACCUCUUCAAUAUGGCUGGCCCUGGAACUUCCCUUGGCACACAGAAUGCAGCAGAAUUGGCUUCAUGUUGUUUCUAAGCCUUGGCCUCAGAGGCCUUGCAUGCUUCCUAACCCUGGCUCUAGGAAACUUGCUGCUGUCAUGUAAGCAAGCCCAGGCUAACCUACUGAAUGUUGGUGUGUCCCAGUCAAAUCCAGCACUGCAACCAAUAGCCAGGCAGCCACCAGACAUGUGAGUGGGGCCACCUCACACCAGCCAACCUCCACCAAGUCAUCAGAUGUAUGAGUGAGAACAGCCCAGAACAACUGAGCCCGUCCAGACCAGCGGAACAACCAAGCUGACCAGUAGACUUAGGAGCAGUAAACAGAUGAUUGUUAUGGAAGCCAUUCUGUUUAGGGUGUGUGUGUUAUUGCUUGCAUCCAAAUACAUCCUAUCUCAUCUAAUGAGAAAAGGCCCUGCUCAAGGGCUUUUGCAGCUGUAGUUGGGCGCCGGAAGUGUCUUUGUGGUCAUUUCUUACUCCAUACACGGGGAGAUCAAGGCUCAGACCAGGUAGUGUGACUGUGGACAACACUUUCCUUACCCCUCUGUGACACUUAAAUCAAUGAAGCAGAUUCACAGAAGCAUGCAUGCUCACUGAACACAGUAUUUGCAUUCCUACCUCCAAACCUUUGCUCCACCCAUGCAUCCAGUAAGAAUGCCUACUUCCCUCCUCUCCUCCAUCGAGUUCUUUCUUUGAGUUCUACCUUCCCUAGUCUUCCUCCACUGCACCAACCCACGGUGAUCCCUGUCUCUUCCAAAUGCUUUGUAACAUGGUAGGCAUCACUCACUUGUGACUCAUUGGACCAUUUUAAAACUUGGUUUUCUGUGUCUCUUUUCCAACAAAAUUACAAAUUCUUUGAGGGUAAAAGUCAGGCCUAAUAGUUCUCUGUACUCCUAGUAGUGCCAGUGUGGUAAAAAUUUAACUUGACAAUUAGCAAAACCAAUAAAUUCCUUACACUAUUCUGUUCCUGUAGGUAAUCAGUAUAUGAAUAUGGAUUCCUAUGUGAUGAUUUUCUGGUCUAUUUUGUCCCUUUUUUUUUUUUGUUACUUUAACCAGGCCAUAACAUAAAGGUUAUGCCAUUUGUUACUGUCAAGCUUAAUUAAGCCCAUUAUAAUUCGUUAACCCCUGUGCUUGCUUUGUAAUUAACAUUGAUUAACACAAACAAGUACAAAAUAGGCCAUCAGCACUUUCCAGAAGUGCUGAUUACAAUUACAUUGGUAAUUCAAUACGGUAUAGAAGAUGGCAGGAUAGUAACUUGCACUCUGUUUACAUAAGGAGACAAAUGCUACCAUGCAAAACUAAGCCAAGAAACAAAAUACUUUCCUCAUCCAACUCACUGAUUAAACCCUUACCCUGUUAACUCACCCUAUGACUGUGUAAACCUCCAGUAAGAUUAUUGAAGGCACAGCUCCAAGUAACUUGCUUAAUUGCAUUCCUGGGACAAAAGAGGGAAGCGCUUCAAAGCUGACAGACAGAUGGUAGAGUGUCCAGUCACAGCAAAGCAGGCCCCGAGGCUCAUGACAGACAACUCCAGGGCUGAGAUCUCAUUUGUAGCUCUGGGAUAAAGUCCAGGGUUUGAUGGCAGCAGGCUGAAGUGUAAAGAUGCUCAACAAUGCGCACCCCAGAGACACUGAAUCUGAAAAAGCUUAGAGUGAAUAAAAAUCUGGAAAUGAACUCUGUCUGUCUAUUCACCAUUCCCCCCAUAAAAAAAUUCCUAUAUUCCGGAUGGUGUUCAAGUUCCCUUUCCACAGGACCUCAGCAGUCAGGGAGGUGCUCCUGCAAUCUAUGUGAAGGAGAUUUCACCAUGCCCACAUGGGAAUACAGUAGAUUGCCAGUAGGGAUGCCACACCUUUGCAUUUCCUCGUAUUUCCAGGAACAAAGCUGGGGUGCCUAGGAGCUGCAGCAGUUUUUCUUCUGUGUAAAAUAAGCAAGCAGGACUCUGCCCCACUGCACUCCAGGGAAGGAUUAAGAGAAUUGAUAUCAUCCAAAUCAAUUGGCCCUGUGCAGAUGACUUGAUAAUGAGGCCAUUGAGUUUUUAUGGUUCACUAUUAUUGCUACAAAAAUUAUGCUGCAGAAAUCAUUCAAAUGCUCAAAAAGGAGCAUUAGUACGAAACUGGGUGUUCCAAAGUUGUUGCUGAGAGGUGUGUAAUGUUCCUGAAGAUCCCCAAGGCACUAAGACUUCUCUGUACAUGAAUGACUCAUAGAGAAGAAAUACACCAGAUGAAAAUAUAUGGAGAAGUUUGCCGAAUGUCAUAUAACUU